rnacentral:rRNA from 1 species
AUUGAACGCUGGCGGCAUGCCUUACACAUGCAAGUCGAACGGUAACAGGUCUUCGGAUGCUGACGAGUGGCGAACGGGUGAGUAAUACAUCGGAACGUGCCUAGUAGUGGGGGAUAACUACUCGAAAGAGUGGCUAAUACCGCAUGAGAUCUACUGAUGAAAGCAGGGGAUCGCAAGUAGUUGUGGUACUAGAGCGGCCGAUGGGAGAUUAGGUAGUUGGUGGGAUAAAAGCUUACCAAGCCGACGAUCUGUAGCUGGUCUGAGAGGACGAUCAGCCACACUGGGACUGAGACACGGCCCAGACUCCUACGGGAGGCAGCAGUGGGGAAUUUUGGACAAUGGGCGAAAGCCUGAUCCAGCAAUGCCGCGUGCAGGAUGAAGGCCUUCGGGUUGUAAACUGCUUUUGUACGGAACGAAAAGCCCCGGGUUAAUACCCUGGGGUCAUGACGGUACCGUAAGAAUAAGCACCGGCUAACUACGUGCCAGCCGCCGCCGUAA